rnacentral:rRNA from 1 species
GACGAACGCUGGCGGCGUGCCUAAUACAUGCAAGUAGAACGCUGAAGAGAGGAGCUUGCUCUUCUUGGAUGAGUUGCGAACGGGUGAGUAACGCGUAGGUAACCUGCCUUGUAGCGGGGGAUAACUAUUGGAAACGAUAGCUAAUACCGCAUAACAAUGGAUGACACAUGUCAUUUAUUUGAAAGGGGCAAUUGCUCCACUACAAGAUGGACCUGCGUUGUAUUAGCUAGUAGGUGAGGUAACGGCUCACCUAGGCGACGAUACAUAGCCGACCUGAGAGGGUGAUCGGCCACACUGGGACUGAGACACGGCCCAGACUCCUACGGGAGGCAGCAGUAGGGAAUCUUCGGCAAUGGGGGCAACACUGACCGAGCAACGCCGCGUGAGUGAAGAAGGUUUUCGGAUCGUAAAGCUCUGUUGUAAGUCAAGAACGAGUGUGAGAGUGGAAAGUUCACACUGUGACGGUAGCUUACCAGAAAGGGACGGCUAACUACGUG